rnacentral:misc_RNA from 1 species
UCCGGUUUGACACCGGCAGUCUCCCUAGAGUGCCCGGCAUAACCCGCUGGUAACUAGGGACGAGGGUUGCGCUCGUUGCGGGACUUAACCCAACAUCUCACGACACGAGCUGACGACAGCCAUGCAGCACCUGUCUUGGGACUCCGAAGAGGGGCCGUGGUUUCUCACGGCUUUCCCCAAGAUGUCAAGCCCAGGUAAGGUUCUUCGCGUUGCGUCGAAUUAAACCACAUGCUCCACCGCUUGUGCGGGGACCCGUCAAUUCCUUUGAGUUUUAACCUUGCGGCCGUACUCCCCAGGCGGUCAACUUCACGCGUUAGCUUCGUUACCAAGGAAUUGCUUCCCCGACAACCAGUUGACAUCGUUUAGGGCGUGGACUAC